rnacentral:rRNA from 1 species
CGCACGGGCGAGUAACACGUGAAUGAUCUACCUCCGAGUGGGGAAUAACCUAGAGAAAUCUGGGCUAAUACCGCAUAACACUUACGAGUCAAAGCAGCAAUGCGCUUGGAGAGGAGUUCGCGGCCGAUUAGUUAGUUGGCGGGGUAAUGGCCCACCAAGACGAUGAUCGGUAUCCGGCCUGAGAGGGCGCACGGACACACUGGAACUGAAACACGGUCCAG